rnacentral:rRNA from 1 species
AGGGCACCACCAGGAGUGGAGCCUGCGGCUUAAUUUGACUCAACACGGGAAAACUCACCCGGCCCGGACACUGGAAGGAUUGACAGAUUGAGAGCUCUUUCUUGAUUCAGUGGGUGGUGGUGCAUGGCCGUUCUUAGUUGGUGGAGUGAUUUGUCUGGUUAAUUCCGAUAACGAACGAGACUCUAGCCUACUAAAUAGUCGCGGGCGUUCUCGUACCGCCCGUCGGCUUCUUAGAGGGACAGGCGGCGUCUUAGCCGCAUGAGAAAGAGCAAUAACAGGUCUGUGAUGCCCUUAGAUGUCCGGGGCUGCACGCGCGCUACACUGAAAUAAUCAGCGCGCAUGCACCCGCCUACACCGAAAGGGGGCGUGAAACGAACAGAACGUCUUCUUUUUAGAGGGACGGGCGGGCGUUCUUAUUCCGCAUGAGAGAGAGCAAUGAACACGGACGAGUGAUGCCAUUAGAGUGUCAGGGGGAUUUCUCGAAACAUUAACCAGAAGUAAUUAAACGGGAAUAGCUGG